AUGCAUCGGAAUGUACCGUGUAAUGGGGGAUAGCUCGGCGAAAGCCGGAUUAAUACCGCAUACGCCCUGAGGGGGAAAGCGGGGGACCGAAAGGCCUCGCGUUAUACGAGCAGCCGAUGUCUGAUUAGCUAGUUGGUGAGGUAAGAGCUCACCAAGGCGACGAUCAGUAGCGGGUCUGAGAGGAUGAUCCGCCACACUGGGACUGAGACACGGCCCAGACUCCUACGGGAG
rnacentral:rRNA from 1 species